UGUGAACAAAAUCCCACGCUGAGGACUGCGGGAGGCCGACGCGUCGUGCUUGUCCGCCGACCAAAUUGGCUCCGCCUGGUUAGCCUCGCCCUCACUUCAACAGCAUCUCCAUCGCACGACGUCUCUUGCCCCAUCGCCGCCGCGCCGGGCGCCCUUACGCAUGACACCGGCACCAGCACGGUGCGCGCGGCGCGGUCGGCCACGGCGAGGAUGAACACGACAACACGCGUCAGCCACCCGGACUGCCCACGGGCCAAGAGUGCGGGCACACGCUCCCGUGGUUAACGGCCUGGUAGUGGAAAGAUUGGUGAGAAAUUAGCAUAAAACUCUUCCCCUGAUCAUUCAUCUCCUCCGCGUCAGUUGUUUCACCUUUUGCCGAGCUCCUUCUCCGGCCAAAAAUUCCUCGCCGUCAUUCACUCUUUUUUCAAUUCCUUUUCACAUACGUCAUGCACAGCACCUCGACAACCCAUUUGAGUCGCUUGUGAGCUAAACUUUCACUGCAGUCACCUUCUCGCUGUGUUCUUCCUUCUCGGGCGCCGCCGAGCCGAGCCGUCAAGCACGCCGGUGAGCAAGGCCAUUGUGGCUGUGGGGAUCAGUGUUGUGUGGUCUACGGGAUGUGAGGAGGUGCAUAGGAGAGGUAUAAGCAGUUUUUGAAGUCGUUCCAUGGCCGGAGCGGCCGGAACGCAGCGCGCCACUGUGGCCGAGGGGGCCACCGCGGAGCUCCCUGCUUCGGGUCCUGAGGCUCGGCUGGGGCCCAUGGACUCUUACUGCAGUUGUGCUGGUGCUCCCCGAGCCGAUGGCCGGCGAAGCACUGCAGCAGCCGGCCGCCGUGGCCGCCCUCGCCGGAGUUGGGGGCUGCCGCCGCUGGCCUGGGUCUGUGGGGAAGCCAAACUUGGAGACAACUCUCUCUCUCUCCAUGUCGAGUGUCGAGAAUGCAAUCUUUUUUGUUCUGCUUUUUUUUGUUUUGCUCCAUGCCAAGUGCCUAACAGGCUGCCUAAUAUUGAUGCUGCAUUUUCUACACUUUAUAUUGCUGUUAAGCACUUUCCCUUCUCCGGUGAUAAAGUGACUUUUUUUGAACUUAAAUUUUUAGUAUUUUGUAUGUCAGGUUGCACUGAAAUCCAAACUGUAUGAAGGACUCAAUUCAGAGAUGGUGUUGGUGGAGCAAGCAAAUGAAACAUGAAAGGCCAAAUCCCAUAUGCAUGUUAAAUGGCUAUAUAAAUAUGUCAGAUAUGAUUUAUUUCUAUCAUCCUACAAUAUAGCUGAUUACAUUGUUAUAUGUUCACCAUUAUUCGUAUAAUUUCUUCCAACAUUUCUUUUCUACCAUUGAGAAACUUUUUUCUACCAUUAAUUUAAUUGCCUAAACAUAGUAUUUUUGCCUUGAAAAAUACCAUCAUGAGGACUAUUUGCUCGAUCUCCUACGAUUAUUUGCUUAGGAGGUUUCAGUUCAAUGCCCUGCAAUACUUUGUAUUAUAUAUUUGUAUACCUCACAAGCGUUGUGGUUCACACAAAAUUAUAAUUUCUUUCUUGGAUAAGCAGAGAUGUCCAGUUCAGCAUGGUUUAUUCUUCUACACACUGACAACAAAACAUGUUUUUGUUGGAGACCUUUCUAGGGAGCAGUGUUCAGAAAAUAUAAUGGAAGUUAGGACGUAAGUUGCUGGUGUUUCUAAAAGUUUGACGGCACCACUAUCUAAUCAAAUCUGGUAACCUAAUCAACAUAUUUAAAUAUAAUUAUUUUAUCAGUUAAUGCAUUCCUAUAUUGCUUCAUAUUUAAUUUUCUUUGUUUUUGUUUGGUCAUUGUUGCUGGGAUGGGAGACGAGAGCAUAGAUAGGAGUCAACAGUCCGGACUUCAGGUAUGUUGUUGCCUCCUAGGUAACUGAAUUUUAAGACAUUGUUUUACAAGGAGGCAAGAAGCUACAGAUGCUCGAUGUGCUCAAGGUCCUGCUCAAGCUGCUGACUCUAUAGGUUGUCAUCUGUUGAUAAAAGAACAUGAAGGCACAUACAGGAAUUGCAUGGAGCAGUCGUAUACGGGAAUUGUAUGAAGAAGCCCUACAGUGAAACUUAUUCAUCUCUACCUUCCACCAUAUAUGCGAGCUAUUGUUAGUUCUUGGUUGUUUGAUUUUCGCAGCUGUGGCGGACUGAAACCCUUUUAUAUAUGAUUAGAUUUUAAAGAGGUGAAAGAUGUCAUUUGCAUUAUGCAGAAACUAUGCUGUUGAAGUGAGCAUUCAAUUGUAUUGUCACAAAGAAGGUUGUAAUAUGUUAAAACCUCUUGCUUGCCAACACGAGAUGCUACUAUUUCAUUUUCUA